AGAGUUUGAUCCUGGCUCAGGAUGAACGCUAGCGGCAGGCCUAACACAUGCAAGUCGAGGGGUAACGAUGUCUUCGGACAGGCGACGACCGGCGCACGGGUGAGUAUCGCGUUUGUAACCUACCUUUAACUGGAGAAUAGCCCGAAGAAAUUCGGAUUAAUACUCCAUAACACUAUGAUCUGGCAUCUUAUUAUAGUUAAAGCUCCGGCGGUUAAAGAUGGGCAUGCGUAACAUUAGUUUGUUGGUGAGGUAACGGCUCACCAAGACUACGAUGUUUAGGGGGUCUGAGAGGAUGGUCCCCCACACUGGUACUGAGACACGGACCAGACUCCUACGGGAGGCAGCAGUGAGGAAUAUUGGUCAAUGGGCGCAAGCCUGAACCAGCCAUGCCGCGUGAAGGAUGACAGCGCUAUGCGUUGUAAACUUCUUUUGUACAGGAAGAAACACUUCUACGUGUAGAAGCUUGACGGUACUGUACGAAUAAGCUCGCUAACU
rnacentral:rRNA from 1 species